rnacentral:rRNA from 1 species
GGGCGUGCUAAUACAUGCAAGUCGAACGCGUUGGCCCAAUUGAUUGAUGGUGCUUGCACCUGAUUGAUUUUGGUCGCCAACGAGUGGCGGACGGGUGAGUAACACGUAGGUAACCUGCCCAGAAGCGGGGGACAACAUUUGGAAACAGAUGCUAAUACCGCAUAACAGCGUUGUUCGCAUGAACAACGCUUAAAAGAUGGCUUCUCGCUAUCACUUCUGGAUGGACCUGCGGUGCAUUAGCUUGUUGGUGGGGUAACGGCCUACCAAGGCGAUGAUGCAUAGCCGAGUUGAGAGACUGAUCGGCCACAAUGGGACUGAGACACGGCCCAUACUCCUACGGGAGGCAGCAGUAGGGAAUCUUCCACAAUGGGCGCAAGCCUGAUGGAGCAACACCGCGUGAGUGAAGAAGGGUUUCGGCUCGUAAAGCUCUGUUGUUAAAGAAGAACACGUAUGAGAGUAACUGUUCAUACGUUGACGGUAUUUAACCAGAAAGUCACGGCUAACUACGUGCCAGCAGCCGCGGUAAUACGUAGGUGGCAAGCGUUAUCCGGAUUUAUUGGGCGUAAAGAGAGUGCAGGCGGUUUUCUAAGUCUGAUGUGAAAGCCUUCGGCUUAACCGGAGAAGUGCAUCGGAAACUGGAUAACUUGAGUGCAGAAGAGGGUAGUGGAACUCCAUGUGUAGCGGUGGAAUGCGUAGAUAUAUGGAAGAACACCAGUGGCGAAGGCGGCUACCUGGUCUGCAACUGACGCUGAGACUCGAAAGCAUGGGUAGCGAACAGGAUUAGAUACCCUGGUAGUCCAUGCCGUAAACGAUGAGUGCUAGGUGUUGGAGGGUUUCCGCCCUUCAGUGCCGGAGCUAACGCAUUAAGCACUCCGCCUGGGGAGUACGACCGCAAGGUUGAAACUCAAAGGAAUUGACGGGGGCCCGCACAAGCGGUGGAGCAUGUGGUUUAAUUCGAAGCUACGCGAAGAACCUUACCAGGUCUUGACAUCUUGCGCCAACCCUAGAGAUAGGGCGUUUCCUUCGGGAACGCAAUGACAGGUGGUGCAUGGUCGUCGUCAGCUCGUGUCGUGAGAUGUUGGGUUAAGUCCCGCAACGAGCGCAACCCUUGUUACUAGUUGCCAGCAUUAAGUUGGGCACUCUAGUGAGACUGCCGGUGACAAACCGGAGGAAGGUGGGGACGACGUCAGAUCAUCAUGCCCCUUAUGACCUGGGCUACACACGUGCUACAAUGGACGGUACAACGAGUCGCGAACUCGCGAGGGCAAGCAAAUCUCUUAAAACCGUUCUCAGUUCGGACUGCAGGCUGCAACUCGCCUGCACGAAGUCGGAAUCGCUAGUAAUCGCGGAUCAGCAUGCCGCGGUGAAUACGUUCCCGGGCCUUGUACACACCGCCCGUCACACCAUGAGAGUUUGUAACACCCAAAGUCGGUGGGGUAACCUUUUAGGAGCCAGCCGCCUAAGGUGACAGA